rnacentral:rRNA from 1 species
CCUACGGGAGGCAGCAGUGGGGGAUAUUGCACAAUGGGGGGAACCCUGAUGCAGCGACGCCGCGUGGGUGAAGGCGGGUUUCGGCGCGUAAAGCCCUAUUGGUAGGGAAGAAGAUGACGGUACCUGACGAAUAAGCCCCGGCUAACUACGUGCCAGCAGCCGCGGGAAUACGUAGGGGGCAAGCGUUAUCCGGAUUUACUGGGUGUAAAGGGGGCGUAGACGGGAAUGCAAGCCAGGUGUGAAAUCCCGGGGCCUAACCCUGGGACUGCACUUGAAACUGCAUGGCUGGAGUACAGGAGGGGCAGGCGGAAUUCCUGGGGUAGCGGUGAAAUGCGUAGAUAUUAGGAGGAACACCGGUGGCGAAGGCGGCCUGCUGGACUGUGACUGACGUUGAGGCCCGAAGGCGUGGGGAGCAAACAGGAUUAGAUACCCCAGUAGUC